rnacentral:rRNA from 1 species
UACAGAGGUCUCAAGCGUUGUUCGGAUUCAUUGGGCGUAAAGGGUGCGUAGGCGGCGCGGUAAGUCGGGUGUGAAAUCUUGGAGCUUAACUCCGAAACUGCAUUCGAUACUGCCGUGCUUGAGGACUGGAGAGGAGACUGGAAUUUACGGUGUAGCGGUGAAAUGCGUAGAUAUCGUAAGGAAGACCAGUGGCGAAGGCGGCGUUCUGGACUGCAACUGACACUGAGAGACGAAAGCCAGGGGAGCAAACGGG